UACGGGGGGAGCAAGCGUUGUUCGGAUUUACUGGGCGUAAAGGGCGCGUAGGCGGCCACCGCAAGUCGACUGUGAAAUCUCCGGGCUUAACUCGGAAAGGUCAGCCGAUACUGCGGGGCUAGAGUGCAGAAGGGGCAACUGGAAUUCUCGGUGUAGCGGUGAAAUGCGUAGAUAUCGAGAGGAACACCUGCGGCGAAGCGGGUUGCUGGGCUGACACUGACGCUGAUUGAUGCGAAAGCUAGGGGAGCGAACGGG
rnacentral:rRNA from 1 species